CCCGCGUCUUUUUGUUUGCCCUGAGCAACCGUGAUGAAGCAAAUCAACACAGACGGAGAUGCUUUUCUUUUCAUUCACACUUUAAAGAAAGAACAGCACUACUAUGUUGACACAAUGGCCAGAAAUGUUGGUCAUUAAAUAAUUGCUGGGUCACAGCUUGGAUGAGCCUGACGGUGGUUGUGCAGGACUGCAACUGAGACUGGUCAAUGGCACCAUCUAGUGUUUGCCUCUGUUUGUGCGUUUAUGUGAGAGAAUUAUACAGUC